rnacentral:rRNA from 1 species
GUUGAUCAUGGCUCAGAACGAACGCUGGCGGCGCGUCUUAAGCAUGCAAGUCGAACGGCAAGAGGUAGCAAUACCUCCUAGAGUGGCGGACUGGUGAGUAACACGUGGGUGACAUACCCUUCAGAUGGGGAUAGCUAUUAGAAAUAGUAGAUAAUACCGAAUACGAGCACAGGGGUUAGAGAUCUGUGAGGAAAGGAGCUAAGGCUCCGCUGAAGGAAUGGCCUGCGGCCCAUUAGCUAGUUGGUGAGGUAAGAGCCCACCAAGGCGAUGAUGGGUAUCCGGCCUUAGAGGGUGAACGGACACAUUGGGACUGAGAUACGGCCCAGACUCCUACGGGAGGCAGCAGCUAAGAAUAUUCCGCAAUGGACGAAAGUCUGACGGAGCGACGCCGCGUGGAUGAAGAAGGCCGGAAGGUUGUAAAAUCCUUUUGAAACUGAAGAAUAAGCGUUGUAGGGAAUGACAGCGUGGUGACAGUAGGUUUUGAAUAAGCAACGGCUAAUUACGUGCCAGCCGCUGC